GUCUCCGUAGCUCAGUGGAUAGAGCACUGGUUUCCGGUACCAAAGGUCGCAGGUUCGAAUCCUGUCGGGGACGCCG
rnacentral:tRNA from 1 species